GGAUAGCUCAGUUGCUCAGACUGAGUGUGGUGCUGACAACACCAAGGUUGCAGGUUUGAUCCCCGCAAGGGACA